rnacentral:rRNA from 1 species
UGCGAGUCGAACGGUGAAGCCCUUCGGGGUGGAUCAGUGGCGAACGGGUGAGUAACACGUGGGCAAUCUGCCCUGCACUCUGGGACAAGCCCUGGAAACGGGGUCUAAUACCGGAUACGACCUUCCUCUGCAUGGGGGUUGGUGGAAAGCUCCGGCGGUGCAGGAUGAGCCCGCGGCCUAUCAGCUUGUUGGUGGGGUAAUGGCCUACCAAGGCGACGACGGGUAGCCGGCCUGAGAGGGCGACCGGCCACACUGGGACUGAGACACGGCCCAGACACAUACGGGAGGCAGCAGUGGGGAAUAUUGCACAAUGGGCGAAAGCCUGAUGCAGCGACGCCGCGUGAGGGAUGACGGCCUUCGGGUUGUAAACCUCUUUCAGCAGGGAAGAAGCGCAAGUGACGGUACCUGCAGAAGAAGCACCGGCUAACUACGUGCCAGCAGCCGCGGUAAUACGUAGGGUGCGAGCGUUGUCCGGAAUUAUUGGGCGUAAAGAGCUCGUAGGCGGCCUGUCGCGUCGGAUGUGAAAGCCCGGGGCUUAACCCCGGGUCUGCAUUCGAUACGGGCAGGCUAGAGUGUGGUAGGGGAGAUCGGAAUUCCUGGUGUAGCGGUGAAAUGCGCAGAUAUCAGGAGGAACACCGGUGGCGAAGGCGGAUCUCUGGGCCAUUACUGACGCUGAGGAGCGAAAGCGUGGGGAGCGAACAGGAUUAGAUACCCUGGUAGUCCACGCCGUAAACGUUGGGAACUAGGUGUUGGCGACAUUCCACGUCGUCGGUGCCGCAGCUAACGCAUUAAGUUCCCCGCCUGGGGAGUACGGCCGCAAGGCUAAAACUCAAAGGAAUUGACGGGGGCCCGCACAAGCAGCGGAGCAUGUGGCUUAAUUCGACGCAACGCGAAGAACCUUACCAAGGCUUGACAUAUGCCGGAAACAUCCAAAAGAUGGGUGCCCCCCUUGUGGUCCGGUAUACAGGUGGGUGCAUGGGUUG